GACGAACGCUGGCGGCGUGCUUAACACAUGCAAGUCGAACGGAAAGGCCCUGCUCUUGUGGGGUGCUCGAGUGGCGAACGGGUGAGUAACACGUGAGUAACCUGCCCUUGACUGUGGGAUAACUUCAGGAAACUGGGGCUAAUACCGGAUAGGAGCUCCUGCUGCAUGGUGGGGGUUGGAAAGUUUCGGCGGUUGGGGAUGGACUCGCGGCUUAUCAGCUUGUUGGUGGGGUAGUGGCUUACCAAGGCUUUGACGGGUAGCCGGCCUGAGAGGGUGACCGGCCACAUUGGGACUGAGAUACGCCCCAGACUCCUACGGUAGGCAGCAGUGGGGAAUAUUGCACAAUGGGCGGAAGCCUGAUGCAGCAACGCCGCGUGCGGGAUGACGGCUUUCGGGUUGUAAACCGCUUUCGCCUGUGACGAAGCGUGAGUGACGGUAAUGGGUAAAGAAGCACCGGCUAACUACGUG
rnacentral:rRNA from 1 species